rnacentral:tRNA from 1 species
GGUCGCAGCUCAGUGGUAGAGCGCUUGCUAGCAUACAUGAGGCACUGGGUUCGAUCCUCAGCACCA